rnacentral:rRNA from 1 species
AGAGUUUGAUCAUGGCUCAGGACGAACGCUGGCGGCGUGCCUAACACAUGCAAGUCGAACGGAGAUAUCAGCAAUGUUAUCUUAGUGGCGGACGGGUGAGUAACGCGUGGGCAACCUGCCUCAUACAGGGGGAUAACACAGGGAAACUUGUGCUAAUACCGCAUAAAACCAAAGGUUGGCAUCAACUAAUGGUCAAAGGA